rnacentral:misc_RNA from 1 species
UUAAUAUUCAUUUUAAACCAAAUCCUAGACCAAACAUCCCUUUUGGAGCCAUUAGAAACAGCAUUGGCAAUUCCUAGAGUUAAAUUUUCCACUUAAGCACCAUUCCAAUAAUGUGUGUAAAGGAUCCACAAACCAUCUCCAAAAAAAUACAAGCAAAGAAAUCAUCCAAAUCCCUUCCAAUAUACUUCCAUAACCCUACACCAACUAUAUUCCUACAAGACAUUGAAAUCCACUCAUUUUGCUCCACAGUCACCACCCUCCAAAAAUUUUUCCUCCACCAAAAAUCUCCAUAUGCACUUCCUAAGAGAAGUUCUACAGAAAAAACAAAGAUUCCUGACCCCCAAUUGCCCAUAAUAGAAGAGUAUCCAUGUCUCAUUUUGCCAAGUGAUCAUCUCUCUCACUCUACUAAAGCAACCUCUUCCACACGCCUGCAAACUAAAUGCCACCAUAUACAAAUGGAAUGUAUGGACAAUAAAAAAAUUGGAAGAAAUUUGGAGUAAUUUAGAAUAGAGUUAAUUGCCCUCCUUUGGACAAGAAAUGCCUCUUCCAUCCAGCUAACAUUCUUUCAAAUGUUUCAGAACUGGUUCCUGCAUUAACUUAUCCAUGUCUUGCCCCCAAUGGGAAGCCUUAAGGAAUGUUACUCUAGUAUGUCCCAAAGAUCAUAAGUG